AUUGAACGCUGGCGGCAGGCCUAACACAUGCAAGUCGAGCGGCUGACGGGAGCUUGCUCCCUGAUUCAGCGGCGGACGGGUGAGUAAUGCCUAGGAAUCUGCCCAUUAGUGGGGGACAACGUUUCGAAAGGAACGCUAAUACCGCAUACGUCCUACGGGAGAAAGCAGGGGACCUUCGGGCCUUGCGCUAAUAGAUGAGCCUAGGUCGGAUUAGCUUGUUGGUGAGGUAAUGGCUCACCAAGGAGACGACCCGUAACUGGGCUGAGAGGAUGAUCAGUCACACUGGAACGACGACACGGUCCAGACUCCUACGGGAGGCAGCAGUGGGGAAUAUUGGACAAUGGGCGAAAGCCUGAUCCAGCCAUGCCGCGUGUGUGAAGAAGGUCUUCGGAUUGUAAAGCACUUUAAGUUGGGAGGAAGGGUUGUAGAUUAAUACUCUGCAAUUUUGACGUUACCGACAGAAUAAGCACCGGCUAACUCUGUGCCAGCCGCCGCGGUAAUAC
rnacentral:rRNA from 1 species